rnacentral:rRNA from 1 species
CCAACAGGGAUUGCCUCAGUAACGGCGAGUGAAGCGGCAACAGCUCAAAUUUGAAAUCUGGCCCCCCGGGUCCGAGUUGUAAUUUGCAGAGGAUGCUUUUGGCGCGGUGCCUUCCGAGUUCCCUGGAACGGGACGCCAUAGAGGGUGAGAGCCCCGUACGGUUGGACACCAAGCCUAUGUAAAGCUCCUUCGACGAGUCGAGUAGUUUGGGAAUGCUGCUCAAAAUGGGAGGUAUAUUUCUUCUAAAGCUAAAUACCGGCCAGAGACCGAUAGCGCACAAGUAGAGUGAUCGAAAGAUGAAAAGCACUUUGAAAAGAGGGUUAAACAGCACGUGAAAUUGUUAAAAGGGAAGCGCUUGUGACCAGACUUGCGUCCGGUGAAUCACCCAGCUCUCGCGGCUGGGGCACUUUGCCGGCUCAGGCCAGCAUCAGCUUGCCGUCGGGGACAAAAGCUUCGGGAACGUAGCUCUCUUCGGGGAGUGUUAUAGCCCGUUGCACAAUACCCUUCGGCGGGCUGAGGUACGCGCUCCGCAAGGAUGCUGGCGUAAUGGUCAUCAGCGACCCGUCUUGAAACACGGACCAAGGAGUCAACCUUAUGUGCGAGUGUUCGGGUGUCAAACCCCUACGCGUAAUGAAAGUGAACGCAGGUGAGAGCUUCGGCGCAUCAUCGACCGAUCCUGAUGUUCUCGGAUGGAUUUGAGUAAGAGCAUAUAGGGUUGGACCCGAAAGAAGGUGAACUAUGCGUGUAUAGGGUGAAGCCAGAGGAAACUCUGGUGGAGGCUCGCAGCGGUUCUGACGUGCAAAUCGAUCGUCAAAUAUGCGCAUGGGGGCGAAAGACUAAUCGAA